UCAGUGACACGUAUGCAAUUGCAUACAGCAAGGGCAUCAAGAAGCGGAGGAGAAAAUCAGACAAUUUCAGCCCCUGUUCAAGAUGCUGUUGUUGUUGCUGAAGUUCAGUUUUCUUCUCGCUGUUGUCAAAUGCCACCAACCACGUGGAGAUAACAAGCCACUGUCUAUCCCGAUACCAUUGACUGGCCGAGGUCUUCCAGAGAGGAUAUCCAUCUGCAUAACAAGGUGGUCAGCAGUACCUGGUAUGCGUAGUCGAUGGCAUGGCUGGCACAAUGUGCGGAUGCUUUUGGGUUAUGUGUCGUACAAUGGCGUUCUGUAUAGAGUUCAGAGGUGUGGUGUUUCGAUGAGUCAAGGCCUGAUAGUUUCAUCUGACCAG